CGCGCAGGACUUAAAAUCCUGUGGUGGCGACAUCGUACCGGUUCGAUUCCGGUCGCCGGCA
rnacentral:tRNA from 1 species